rnacentral:misc_RNA from 1 species
GAUGAAGAACGCAGCGAAAUGCGAUAAGUAAUGUGAAUUGCAGAAUUCAGUGAAUCAUCGAAUCUUUGAACGCACAUUGCGCCCGCCAGUAUUCUGGCGGGCAUGCCUGUUCGAGCGUCAUUUCAACCAUCAAGCCCCAGGCUUGUGUUGGGGACCUGCGGCUGCCGCAGGCCCUGAAAACCAGUGGCGGGCUCGCUGUCACACCGGGCGUAGUAGAUUUUAUCUCGCUCAGGGCGUGCUGCGGGUUCCGGCCGUUAAAAAGCCUUUUUUACCCAAGUUUGACCUCGGAUCAGGUAGGAAGACCCGCUGAACUUAAGCAUAUCAAUAAGCGGAGGA